rnacentral:rRNA from 1 species
AGAGUUUGAUCCUGGCUCAGAUUGAACGCUGGCGGAAUGCUUUACACAUGCAAGUCGAACGGCAGCACGGACUUCGGUCUGGUGGCGAGUGGCGAACGGGUGAGUAACAUAUCGGAACGUAUCCAAUAAUGGGGGAUAACUAAUCGAAAGGUUGGCUAAUACCGCAUACGCCCUACGGGGGAAAGCUGGGGACCUUCGGGCCUGGCGUUAAUGGAGCGGCUGAUAUCUGAUUAGCUAGUAGGUGAGGUAAAAGCUCACCUAGGCGACGAUCAGUAGCUGGUCUGAGAGGACGACCAGCCACACUGGAACUGAGACACGGUCCAGACUCCUACGGGAGGCAGCAGUGGGGAAUUUUGGACAAUGGGCGCAAGCCUGAUCCAGCCAUUCCGCGUGAGUGAAGAAGGCCUUCGGGUUGUAAAGCUCUUUCGCAAGGGAAGAAAACUUACUUUCUAAUAAAGAGUGAGGUUGACGGUACCUUGAUAAGAAGCACCGGCUAACUACGUGCCAGCAGCCGCGGUAAUACGUAGGGUGCGAGCGUUAAUCGGAAUUACUGGGCGUAAAGCGUGCGCAGGCGGCUUUAAAAGUCAGAUGUGAAAUCCCCGAGCUCAACUUGGGAACUGCGUUUGAAACUCUAAAGCUAGAAUAUGUCAGAGGGGGGUAGAAUUCCACGUGUAGCAGUGAAAUGCGUAGAGAUGUGGAGGAAUACCAAUGGCGAAGGCAGCCCCCUGGGAUAAUAUUGACGCUCAUGCACGAAAGCGUGGGGAGCAAACAGGAUUAGAUACCCUGGUAGUCCACGCCCU